rnacentral:lncRNA from 1 species
AGUAGCCUAAGAUGGCCAACAUGGCCAAUCUACCGUUCUUGAUCUCCUUGAGUUUCAACUCCUUCAUGGACUUCUCGUUUUUACCAAACCCAAGAGGGUUAAAGAAAGGUCCACCAGGGUAAGCCGGUUCACCUGAACCGGAAAAGCCUUUCUCUAAACCCAAGAAGUACUGUUUGCCCAUAGAUCCAGGGUUGUACCAGUCUUGCAACCUCCGGUGCUCAGCGAAUCCCAUCAGAGCCAUCUCGAGAACAAAGAGUGUGUAGUUGUCUGCCCAGUAACUGUAUGUCCCUGCAGGUGGAAUCACACCGGUUUGGAACCAGGGAAGAGCAGUCUCUGCUGGAAUCAGACCGGCUUUGCCUAGAAUCUCAGGAGCAAUAGCUCCAGCUGCACCCAACAUGGCGAAACGUCCGUUGAUGAUCUCUCCGUAUGCUAGCCAUCUCGGCUCGAUGAACCCUCCAGUACCUUCUGGGUCUGAAAGACCAAGCGGGUCAAAUCCAUAGUCUCCAGGUAAGCUGCAAGAAUCACAAGAUCUCCCUAGUUAUGAACCAUUGUCUAUAAAGUCUACACAUUUUUAAGAUCAUAAUGGUUAAAAGAAACGAAGUCUUUGGAAUUACCUGCCAUCCAAGUAAGUGAGACUCUGAGAGGAUGCAAACCACAAUGGUCUGUUUGCUCCUUGCUGAAACAAAAUUCACAGAAAAAGAAGAUUCAGAUUAUUCAGUGCAUAGAAAAAGAGAGAUUUGUGAAAAAGACUAGAGACUGUCAUGUACCUUGACAGGUGGAGUUGAAGUAGCCUUAACGACAAAGGAACUCUUCCUCUGUGAAGUGGACACAGCUGGUUUUGUGCCGAAGAUCUGUCUAGCGGUCUGAACAGAGGAGGUAAGUGAAGAAGACACAAGUGCUUGUGCUGCCAUUAUUUUGCUCUGUUCCUUAACUCUUUCUCUUCUGUGUCACCAAGAGAUGAUGAAGAUGAUGGUUCAGUAAUGGUUUUGCAGGGGAAAUGUUAGAGAACAACGAACAAGGUCCAUUAGAACUACUUGUGGCUUUGAAAUAGCACAACUGGUUUUGCUCAGAUUAGAUUAGUAUCUGCUUCACCAACUAUAUUUGUCCACGUGGCAACAUAAGUUGGAUAAGGGAUGUUGUUUCUCUGUUUCUCCUUAUCUGCCACACAAGAAAUAAAAAAAAAUCUUUACCUAGAAGCCUAUUGGUUAUAAAAUAUUGUAUGCUUUAUAGAUUGGAAAUUGUAAUGGAUAUGUGCUUCUGUGCAUAAAGAACCAAAUUGGCAUUUUGAUACGGUUAGCAAAGAAAGUUCUCAAUUGCUUCAUAGUCCAUUCAAAUGUUAGUGCAACAUUCUAAUUACACACUCUAAUUACUUCAAAUUCCGUAAAUCGGUUCGGUUUUCAUUCGACUAAUAAAAAAGUAGGUUCGGUUUGAUAACUUUGGUUCGGUUCGGGAAAAAGAUAUAAAAAAACAAUGAUUGCUGCUACAAUAUUUAGGAGUAUAAAUAAAUGUUUUUUGUUGACAAAAACAUUUGUUUCCCCAUAUGCAUAUUUAGUUAAAAAUAUUAUUUUUAAUGAGUUUCAGCAAUUUGAUUAAUUCGGUUUGAUUAAACCGAAAUUAGGCUAUGAUUCGGAUUUGGUUUGAUGAAAUUUUGGUUCAGUGCACUUCGUUUUUUUUCCCCCUUAGAGACACUAUAAAUAGUUAGCGUUUUACAUAGUUCCCGCUAGUGAUACACCGUCGGCGAUUUUUACUAAACUAGAUGCUGUAUGAGUUGGAAAUAAUCAACCAUAGUUUCUCAUGUACUGAUAGACUUUAGCUCCGGUGGUAUAUAGGCACAGCUUGUCUUCGUUUGGAUUACGCUCUGUAAGUGUUCGGUGAAAUGCCUCAACGAAAUGGAAUGCUUCAAAGCUACGUUCUUUUUACCAGGAGACUAGCUUGCAAGUCAUAUAAAAUAGAUAAUUGCUGCACAUAUAAUGGUGAAACAACAGCGAACUAAGUGAGAUUUGAUUGAUUAAUAUUCUCAUCAUCUGAUUCAUUCAUAUAAGAUAUUGGAUUCUUCAGUGAAGACUGUGACAGUUCUCAUCUUUCGGUGGAUGCAGAGUAUAAAAAGAAAAUCUUUCACUGGUUCUUAUGGACUUAACGAGCUAAAAAGGGAAUGAAAAUGACAAUGUUGGUAUAUGGGGUUAAAGUCAAACGUUGCGUGGUUGAUUGGGUAAAAGGUUAGACUUCUUCGUGGCAAUCACUUUGUGUAUUAUUUAAUAAGGUUUAAGAAUAGUCUCACAAGUUCCUAGAAUUCAUUUUCUUGGGUUACUUGCUCUAAUUAACAUGUUUGCUUCUUAAACUAAUCUAAAGGAGAUUGUUAUUGGAGACACAUGAACAAACAUGGGGAUGAGGAGGUUUGCUUGUUUGCUCUUUCUUACCACGUUCUUAAGUUUUAGUUAUGCAGCUAUAACGCCAGAAAGUCCUUUAUCAAUAGGACAAACUCUCAGAUCCUCUAAUGAGAUUUAUGAACUGGCUUUCUUCAGUCCUAAUAACUCCCAAAAUCAGUAUGUUGGAAUCUGGUUCAAAGGUAUCAUUCCCCAGGUGGUUGUGUGGGUGGCCAAUAGAGAAAAUCGUGUUACAGACAAAUCUAAGUAUCAGCAGCAAUGGAAGUCUUCUCUUAUUGAAUGGCAAACAUGGCGUUGUCUGGUCCAGUGGAGAGACUUUCGCAUCUAACGGGUCUCGAGCAGAGCUUUCAGACACCGGGAAUCUUAUUGUCAUAGACAAUGUUUCAGGGAGAUUACUAUGGGAAAGCUUUGAGCAUCUUGGUGAUACUCUGCUCUUAUUCUCAACCCUGAUGUAUAAUCUAGCCACCGGUGAGAACCGUGUGUUGACUUCUUGGAAAACUAAUACUGAUCCAUCACCAGUUGACUUUGUGGUUGAGAUUACACUGCCACUGAGUGCCAUCACAGGCGUUUACUAUGAGAGGCUCAACGCCUUAUUGGAGAAGCGGUCCAUGGGCUAAAACAAGGUUCACAGGGAUACCACAAAUGGAUGAAACAUAUACAAGUCCAUUCAGUGUUCAGCAAGAUGCAAACGGGUCAGGAUCCUUCACUUAUUUACAUAGAAACUUCAAACUUCCACGUAUAGUGAUAACAUCUGAUGGGUCACUAAAGAUUGUUCGGCAUAAUGGGACCGGCUGGGAAUUGAACUUUGAGGCUCCAACGAACUCAUGUGAUUACUAUGGUGUAUGUGGACCUUUUGGGUUGUGUGUGAUGUCUGUUCCUCCAAAAUGUAAAUGCUUCAAAGGGUUUACACCAAAUACAUUGAGGAGUGGAAAAAAGGAAACUGGACUGGUGGUUGUGUGAGGCGUACCGAACUAGAUUGUCAGGAGAACUCUACUGGGAAAGAUGGAAACGUCUUCCAGCAAGUUGCCAACAUAAAGCCUCCAGACUUUUACGAAUUUUCAAGUUAUGAGAGUACUGAAGAAUGCUACCAAAGUUGCCUCCACAAUUGUUCCUGCUUGGCCUUUGCUUUUAUUCAUGGAAUAGGCUGCUUGAUGUGGAACGGGGAGCUAAUGGACUCUGUGCAAUUUUCUGCGGGAGGAGAACUUCUUUCCAUUCGUCUUGCACGUUCUGAACUAGGUAAGGCUUAAAAGAUAACACGAAAGAGCUACUUCGUCAUAUACAUCUUUAUCUAAAACUCCCUUAAUAGCAGCAUGUGUUAUUGUUAAGUUUGUUUUUGUCUUAUAUAUUUCAGUUGGUAAUAAGCGCAAGAAGACUAUUGUUGCAAGUAUUGUGAGCCUUUCUCUUUUUGUGUUAUUGGUUCUGCUGCAUUUGGUUUCUGGAGAUACAGAGUGAAACGCAACAGUACACACUUGACACUACUAUUUCUUUAUAGAUUUUUUGUUGUUUAUCUAUUUCAUUUGAUUGCUAACGAGUAACACAAUGAUGACCUUAAUAUCUGUCUGUUUUAGUUUCAGCUAUUAUAUCAAAGGAUGCUUGGAGGAAUGAUCUGAGACCACAAGAUGUCACAGGUUUAAAUUUCUUUGACAUGAAUACCAUUGAAACUGCCACCAAUAAUUUCAGUCUGUCAAAUAAACUCGGACAAGGUGGAUUUGGUUCAGUUUACAAGGUAAGGGGAUUUUUGUCCUCUUUUCUAUCCUCUGCUUAUUCUCUCUAGAUGACAUGCUGCAAUCUGUUUCAGGGAAAGCUGCAAGAUGGGAAAGAAAUUGCUGUAAAACGGCUUUCUAGCAGCUCAGGGCAGGGCAAAGAAGAGUUCAUGAAUGAAAUAGUACUCAUCUCAAAACUACAACACAGAAACUUAGUUCGGAUCUUGGGAUGUUGCAUUGAAGGAGAAGAGAGGCUACUUAUUUAUGAGUUCAUGGUGAACAAAAGCCUUAAUACUUUUCUCUUUGGUUGGUCCUUUCUUUCCUCUUUCCUUUUCUAUUACAGCUUCUUCUACGUAGAGCUCUUAAUCUGAUAAAUUUUUGGACUAUAUUAUUGGUUAGAUUCAAGAAGAGAGCUCGAGAUUAAUUGGCCAAAGAGAUUUGAUAUCAUUCAAGGUGUUGCGCGUGGACUUCUCUAUCUUCACCAUGACUCACGCCUUAGGGUCAUUCACCGAGACCUAAAGGUUAGCAAUAUUCUUUUGGACGAGGAGAUGAACCCGAAGAUAUCAGAUUUUGGAUUGGCUCGAAUGUUUCAAGGAACACAAUAUCAGGACAACACUCACAGGGUUUUUGGAACCCUGUAAGUACAUUUCUUCAAAAAUAGGCUUAGCAAGAUUCAUUAGUCAUAUCUUAGCUUGUGUAAAACUAUUCGAUUGUUUGCACAGAGGAUACAUGUCUCCUGAGUAUGCGUGGACUGGGCUGUUCUCUGAGAAGUCUGAUAUUUAUAGUUUUGGAGUUCUGAUGUUAGAAACCAUCAGUAGAGAGAAGAUCUCAAGGUUUAGUUAUGAUGAAGAGUGCAAAAGCCUUCUUGAAUAUGUAAGUAAGACUUCUUCAGGUUUCAAAACCUUUUCUUGCUCUUAUAUUCGGCUGAUAUUCUGAAAUUUCAACAGGCAUGGGAAUCUUGGUGUGAAACUAGAGGUGUUGAUUUUUCGGACCGAGAUAUUGCUGAUACAUGUAAUCCAUCUGAGGUUGGAAAAUGUGUUCAGAUUGGUCUGCUGUGUAUUCAACACCAACCUGUAGACAGACCCAACACACUUGAGUUGCUGUCCAUGCGCACCACGACAUCAGAUCUUCCAUCACCAAAACAACCCACUUUUGCAGUGCACACGAGAUAUGGCGAAUCCAAUUCUAAGGAAUUGUUGAUCACCGUCAAUGGGAUGACACAAUCUGUGAUCCUUGGACGUUAAGAAACAAUGUGUUUCUCUCUCUCUCUGUCUCUCUCUGUCUCUCUGUCUCUCUCUUUCUCUCUCUCUCUUUCUUGAAACUAGUUUUCUGAUUCUCAGCUUUCUAAGAAGAAACAAACUUAAAGUGUAUUGAGUUUGGUUAAACUUUUCCAAUCUUUGGGAUGUUAACUGAAUGCUGAUUCUAGAUUAAGUGUUUAGGUGAUUUAAACCAAAAUCAAAUUUCAGAGUGUUUGCUUCCAAAUAUUACGGGAGGAUUGUAGUGGAAUUUGUAUUUUUUUACUUUUCUAAGAAUUAAAAUAACGUAAGACGUUGUUUUUAAUCCCACAUCGGGAACAUAGUAAAACGUAGGUCAUGACACUUUGCUAUAAAAUAGAACGUGGCUAAGAUUUACUGUAGUAUCUGUUCUUAUCAGUGUAAUAUCUGAUAUGUGGGCCAUCGGCUCACUCGUUAUUAACUCAAUUUUUGAAGGGAGCAAGCCCAUUAAAAAUACUUUGCUAUCUGGGCUUUCUGAGUUGCCCAUGUGUUGCACUACUGCAUGGACCUGGCUCAUCCCAUCAUUCACUAGUCCAAAUUUUGGUUAAUAAUUGUCUUAAGAAGUCAUGGCUCAUCCCAUCAUUCACUAGUCCAAAUUUUGGUUAAUAAUUGUCUUAAGAAGUCAUUAAAUCGAGAUAAAUUUUUAAAUCACAAACACUACGUUAAAUAUACCUUUGUAGGUUUUGAUGGAACUAGGUAAUUAGCCCGCAUAAAACACAAGAGUUUCAUAAAAUAAUUACAUCAUUAAAUUAUUAACUUUGUUAAAAAAAAAAUCCCAAAAUAUAAGAACAAUGUUAGACAUUCGACCAUUACCAUUCACUCAUAUAUUUAUAAUUACAGAAUUUUUUUUCAAACUAUUUUUUUAUCUCUUCCUCAACAGAACUCUUUUUAUUUUUUCGUAAAUGUGUGUCAUUCUAAUCGGUUAUUUCACGCGUUUUCCUUCUUCUUCUUUAAUAUAUUUGGUUUAUGUUUUUUCUUCUACUUAAUCGUCUUUGACUUUGACUUAUUAUUUAUCAUUUUUUGUCAUUUUUAACAAUUAUUCUUUUUUUUUUAAAAUAUAUAAUUGUCUUCGUCUUCCAAUUUUUCUUUUGAUCGUUUUCGUCUUCUCUGGCUUAUUAUUCUUUUGUUUCUUCUUCAUCUUAUCUUCAACCUCAACUUCUUCCGCUUCGUCCUUUUCUUCUUAUUUUUUUAGUUUUGUUUAUCGUCUUCCUCAUAUUUUUCUUUUCUCUUUUUCAUCAUAUUCAUUUUAUUCUUCUUAUUCAUCACAUUUGUCAUCUUCAAUUCCUUCUACAUAUUUUUUUCAGUUUUUAUUCAUCAUCUCCAAAUCCUUACCUUUCUCUCCUUCUUCUUCUUUGAUGUCUUGGUCUAAUCUGCAUUUUUAUUCUUCUUACGGUUUUUUAUUUUUUUUGUCUUUGUCAUAUCUUUCUUGUCUUUUCUGACUGUUUUUAUCUUAUUUUUUUUCUUUUCGUUAUCUUAUCAUUCUUCUUUUCCAUCAUCUUUGUCUUCUCUGAAUUAUAUUUUUCUAUUCUCAAUCUUCCCGUUUUUUCUUCUCACUAUUCUUCAUCAUUUUCCUUCUUUAUUGUCUUUUUAUUUUUUCCUUCGUUGUUUACUUUGUCAUCUUAAAGUUAUUCUUCUUCUUUAUUAUCUUCUUCUUCCUUGGCUUCUUUUUUAUUCAGUUUUGUCUUCAUUUUCUUCUCCCGGAUUUCUUCUUCCUCUUCUUGUUCCCUCUCAUUUCUACAUUUUCUUUGUAUUUCUUAUUCUUCAGAUGUUUCUUUAUCACAUCAUUGUCUUCUUCCUCGCCAUAUAACCUUGUAUCUAAGUAUUCUAUUAUCGGUUAUCAUUAAUCUUUUUUGUUUCUCUCUCUAAUUAUAUAUAUAUAUAUAUAUCUCGUUCCCUCCUUCCCUCUUUCUUUCUAGAAUCUCCUAAUUAUGUUAUAGUGAUAGAACUUUCAACUAUUUUAAUUUAGAUUAAAGUGAUUUUAUAGAACGACUCGCCUAAAAGUUUAUUUUUUUAAAGCUAGUUAUUUCUAGAUAGAUAUAUGUUUGACUAUUCUAAUAAUGUAUCAAGAAACAUGACGAUUCUUAGAGAAUUCAUCAAAUAUGGGGUAGAAAUGUAUCACUCUUCAAAUCUGCUAAUUUAACAGAUGACUACAAAAGUCAUAUGCUCUCUCUCUUCAACAAUUUGGCCAUAUAUGAUAUCAACAAUUAUUCUUAAUCUCUUUAUCCAAACGUACAAUAAAAAAACAUUAAAAAUACAUGCUAUAUGUAGAUUCCACUUUGCUUCAUUCCUAAAUAUUGUCCUAAUAUCCGCAAAGGUGCAUGGAUCUCUAGCAUAAUCCAAUAGAAAUCUCAAAAGAUCAACCUCUCUCGGACAAGACUCCACAACACAUCGGGUGAUCCCAGAAGUCAAGAUCUUCAUAGUGUAGCAUACCCUCUUGAACAUAGAAUGAAGAACACCAUCAACAGUUUUAAUAUCCUAAAAGUAGCACAGACCUCUCCUCACAAGCAAUAGAAGGCGAAGAUAAUGAGUUCACCAGAAUUAAGUGGACAAUCCUCUAGUACACCCGAACUCCGAGAAACUGUGAGCCGGGUAUCCAUUCACAUUGAUUCGGAUCCCAUACCCAUCUAGAAGGGAUGUUGGAAUAUAACAAUGUCAUUGCCGCUGGAUUAAGUUGAUUGCAUUCCAUCCAAGAUAUCAAUUUGCUUUUGUUCUUCGAGUCAGACACGUUGACAUCAUCAUAGAUGGAAUUUUGUGGUAAAGAAAGAUGCACCGGCAAAUAAUCAGAACCCUAUAAUUAUGAAAGAACACAUAUUAAUGGAUUUCAAUUAUGAUUAAUAGCACGGAACAGAAUCAAAUAUAAAGUUAAAAGAAAACUAUACCUUUUGGCAUCAUAUUCAGUUGCAAAAACAAUGAGAAAGGAAGCAGAAACGUGUUUAGCCAAAUCAGGUUAGGGUUUUUGGUUUAGAAAACUAAAGACGUAAUGAGAACAGAAUAACAGAAGAAUAUUAUUGAUCAGUGAAAUAUUUAUUUUGACCAUGUUUUGUUCUAUACGUAUUUAUACUUAUAAAAUAAAAAGCAUAAACGAUAUUUGUAAGGAUAAUAACUUGUAGCAUGUAUAUAUCUAUUUAAAUAAUAUAUUGGAGAUUAAUUGUUAAUUAAAGAUGAGGUGAGUGAAUGGAAAAGUUUAGGGGUUUUUUCUUGGUACUCUUAAAUUUUCGAUUUUUGGGUGUUUUUUUUUAAUUAAAACAAUAAUUGAGAUGUAUAGAAAACUAUGGUUGUUUUUUUAUAAAAAAAGUAGAUUAAUAAAGUAAUAGUUUGUUUUUAAUUAAAACAAUGAUUGAGGUGUAUAGAAAAUAAUUUUCGUUUUUAAAAAAUAUAUUAAGAAAAUAAUAGAAAAUAAUGGUCCUUUUAAAAAAAAUAUAUAUAUUAAGAAACUAAUAAUUUUUUAAUUAAAAAAUGGUAGAUUUUAAAAAACUAUAGUCGAUUUUUUUAUUUAAAAAUAUAUUUAAUUUAAAGAUAAGAUUAUAUUUUACUAAGAUUAUUAAAUUUUAACUAAAUUUAAUUUGAACCGAGUAAAUAACUAAUAACUAAAUUUAAUUUGAACCAAGUUAAAGGCUAAUAUAGACUUUUUAUUGAGGGACAAGAUGAUAAUUAACCACCUCCAAAAUCAAUGAGAGAGCUAGAAAUCAAAAAUUUACUCGGCUUAUAAUAUAUAUGAUUAAAGUUUCAAAGAUGCCCUCUCUCUAACCAGGAGAGAAGAAGACUACUUUGAAUAGAAAAGGGUAUAUGUAGAUCAUUAUAUUUUUCUCAUAGCUCCAAGUCUCUUAAUUCAAGAAAUUUCUUUACCGUACAUUUAAAGUGUGUUACACCAAGGUCGAUUACUAUCUAUAACAGUCUCUUAUAUUCUAAGAAUUGCACUUUGUGUAAUCUCUUUAAAAUCUAUAUGGCCCCUAUGUCAUAUUUUGCUGUAACCAAUCAUCCUCAAUAAAAAGUUCUUCGUUUAAAAAAAAAAUUUGUGCUCUAAGGGUGAAACGAAGAUUUUAGAAACCACUAAGAAAGAUCUGAUUGAUUAAUAUUCUCAUCAUCUGACUUAUUCAUAUAGUCAUCUUUUCAGUUGAUGGAGAAUGUUGAUGCUUAUGUUUCAAUGUGAACAUGAAAAAACACGAUAUUUCAAUUUGAGAUCAAUUAGUCAAAACACUUGACGGGGUCAAAUGUUGGAUUCGUUAUGUUAAGCUAUGAAAAUGACAAUGUUGCGUUAUUGAUUGGGUAAAAAGUUGGACUUCUUCGUGGAAAAUUCGUAUGUAUUUUGUAUUAUUAAAUAAAGGUUUAAGUUGAUUUUGUAUAAAGUAAUGCAUAAUCUUGGAACGUAACUUGCGUUGUGGUCAUUGUCCAUAGAUGGUUGAAUGUAGUUCUCACAAGUCACAAGUCCCUCGCUUUUUUUUUUUGUUUUUCUUUCUUUCUUGGCUUUCUUGCUCCUGAUAUUUGUUCGCUUCUUAGACUAAUCUGAAGAAGGUAGUUUUUUUUUGGGUUUAUAAGAAGAUAGUUAUUGGAGAGACAAAAGCACAUGGGGAAGAAGAGGGUCGUGUUCUUUAAUUCUUUGCUCUUUUUUACCAUCUUUUCAAGUUGUAGCUUUGCAGGGAUAACCACAGAGAGUCCUUUGUCAAUAGGACAAACUCUUAGCUCUCCUAAUGGAGUUUAUGAACUGGGUUUCUUCAGUCCAAAUAACUCCCAGAAUCAUCAGUAUGUUGGAAUUUGGUUCAAAGGUAUCAUUCCUCGGGUGGUUUUGUGGGUGGCCAAUAGAGAAAAACCUGUUACAGACUCCACGGCAAAUCUAACAAUCAGUAGCAAUGGAAGUCUUCUCUUAUUAGAUGGAAGACAUGGUGUUGUGUGGUCCACCAAAGAAGUUUUUGCAUCUAACGGGUCUCGUGCAGAGCUUUUAGACACCGGAGAUCUUGUUGUCAUAGACAAUGUUUCAAGAAGAACUAUAUGGGAAAGCUUUGCACAUCUUGGUGAUACUCUGCUUCCUUUCUCGCCCAUCAUGCAUGAUCUCGCCACCGGUGAGAAACGGGUGUUGACUUCUUGGAAAAGUGAUACUGAUCCAUCACCUGGUGACUAUGUAACUCUGUUUUCAUCGCAAGUGCCAUCACAGGGGUUUACUAUGAGAGGCUCAACGCCUUAUUAUAGAUCUGGUCCAUGGGCUAAAACAAGGUUCACAGGGAUACCGCUAUUUGAUGAAACUUUAGCAAGUCCGUUUAGCUUUCAGCAAGAUGCAAACGGGUCAUGGUCUUUCUCUUAUCUAGAAAGAGACUCCAAACUUUCACGUUUAGUUUUAACAUCAGAGGGUUUGCUGAAGAUUUUUCAUCUUAGUGAGACCGGCUGGGAAGUAAGCCUUGAGGCUCCAACAAAUCCAUGUGAUGUUUACGGUGUAUGUGGAGCUUUUGGGAUGUGUGUUGUGUCAGAUCCUCCGAAGUGUAGUUGCUUCAAAGGAUUUGUACCUAAAUACAUUGAGGAGUGGAAAAGAGGAAACUGGACCGGUGGUUGUGUGAGGCGCACAGAACUAGAUUGUCAAGGAAACUCUACAAGCAAAGUUGCAAAUGUCUUUCAUCCUAUUGCCAACAUAAAGCCUCCAGACUUUUACGAGUUUGUAAGUUCUGUGGAUUCUGAAGGCUGCUAUCAAAGUUGCCUCCUCAAUUGUUCUUGCUUGGCCUUUGCUUUUAUUCGUGGAAUUGGGUGCUUAAUAUGGAAACAAGAGCUAAUGGACGUAAUGCAGUUUUCUCCUGGAGGAGAGACUGUUUCCAUUCGUCUUGCACGUUCUGAACUAGGUAACACGAAAUAGUUCUCCUUUGAUAUUGUUCUUUACGUUAGUAUCAUUGCUUAUUGUUUAAUUUUUUUUUUUUUUGUCUUAUACAUCUUAGAUGGAAAUAAUCACAGGACGAAAGUUGUUGCUAGUGUUGUGAGCAUUUCCCUUUUUGUGAUAUUGGGUUCUGCUGCAUUUGGUUUAUGGAGAUACAGAGUGAAACAUAAUGGUAACUAUCUCUCUAUCGAUCUCUUGUUACUUAUCUAUUCAUAUGCUUGCUAACGGUAACACACUGAUGACUUUACUAUCUAUUCAACUCUAAAUUCAGCUAUUGUAGCAAAGAAAGCCUCACAAGAAGAGUGGAGGAAUGGUCUAAAACCACAAGAUGUCUCAGGUUUAAAUUUCUUUGAGAUGAAUACCAUUGAAACUGCCACCAAUAGUUUUAGUCUGUCAAAUAAACUCGGACAAGGUGGAUUUGGUUCAGUUUACAAGGUAAGAGAACUUUAUUUUCUUUACUCUUUUGUGUUCUCUGUUUAUGCUCUUGAGAUGACCUUCACCAUUGUGUUCAGGGAAAGCUGCAAGAUGGGAAAGAAAUUGCAGUAAAACGGCUUUCUAGCAGCUCAGGGCAAGGCAAAGAGGAGUUCAUGAAUGAAGUAGUACUCAUCUCAAAACUACAACACAAAAACUUAGUUCGAAUUUUGGGAUGUUGCAUUGAAGGAGAAGAGAGGCUACUGAUUUAUGAGUUCAUGUUGAACAAAAGCCUUGAUACUUUUCUCUUUGGUGAGUCCCUUCUUGCCUCAAAUCGUUUCCUAUUAUCAGUUUUUUCUCUCUCUGUGUAGAACAGUUUAUCUGAUAGUUUUUACACUGUAAUAUUGCUUAGAUUCAAGAAAAAGGCUUGAGAUUGACUGGCCUAAGAGAUUCAUUAUCAUCCAAGGUAUUGCACGUGGACUUCUCUAUCUCCACCGUGACUCACGCCUCAGGGUCAUUCACCGAGAUCUUAAGGUUAGCAAUAUUCUCCUAGAUGAGAAGAUGAACCCAAAAAUAUCAGAUUUUGGAUUGGCUAGGACGUAUCAGGGAACUGGAUAUCUAGACAACACUCGUAGGGUAGCAGGAACUCUGUAAGAAUCUGUUUUCUUGUUUUAAGAAUCUGUUUUGAAAAACAAGAGUCAUAGCCAUAUUCAUAUGUUAAAUUAGGUUGAAUAUUUUUUGAUAUAUGUGCAGAGGAUAUAUGUCUCCCGAGUAUGCAUGGACUGGGAUGUUCUCUGAGAAAUCUGACAUCUACAGCUUUGGAGUUCUGCUGUUAGAAAUCAUCAGCGGAGAGAAGAUAUCAAGAUUCAGCUAUGGUGAAGAAGGAAAAACUCUUCUUGCAUAUGUAAGACAGACUUUUAAGUUCUCAUAUACUUGCAAAAUUUCAUGCUCUUACAUUUUUUGAGAUAUGGAAACUUAACAACAGGCAUGGGAAUCUUGGUGUGAAAAUGGAGGAACUGAUUUGCUAGACCAAGAUGUUUCUGAUUCAAGUCAUCCAUCUGAGGUUGGAAGGUGUGUUCAGAUUGGUCUUCUUUGUGUUCAACACCAACCUAGUGACAGACCCAACACACUUGAGUUGCUGUCUAUUCUCACCACAACAUCAGAUCUUCCAUCACCAAAAAAACCCACUUUUGUAUUGCACUCGAGAGAAGAAGAAUCCUUGUCUAAGGGUUUGAGCACUGUCAAUGAGAUAACACAGUCUUUGAUCCUUGCGCGUUAAGAAAAAGUGUGUGAAUGGAAGUUGUUCAAUCCUAAAUUGUUCUCCAUUUUCCAAUGUUGAUAACUUCAACAUUAUCUCAUUAAUGUUUUUAUUUUCUAUACAACCUUUGAUGAUUGAUCAAAAGGUAAGCACGUGGUAUUGGAACAACUAAAACUUGUUUUCUUCUUCUUAAUUAAUUCUCACUAACAAAAAAACUUUUCAAUAAAUCUGCAAUUGUUUUUUUUUUUUUUUUUACUGUGAGACGAUGUGUAUUUCUCAAUUCAAUACAACUUGUCAAGAAAUCCAUUUAAUUCAACAUAUCUUGUCAAUGCCAACAUAUUUUAGCUUCGUGGUGUAUUUUUAGACAACUCCUCGAUAAGUCAAUAAGCAACAAGCCAAAAUACAUAGAAACAUAAUAAGCUAAGCCACCAGAAACUUAAAAUCCUAAUUAAGUUUCGAAACGAAAAGAGGCAUUGCAUCUCUAAAUCUAUAUAUCUUAGUUUGGUUCAGUGAUCACAGAGAUCACCUCAUUCAACAGGGCAUUCUUUUCAUAGACACAUGCACGCUUAUUGCGCUCCAACAUCUCUUCACUCUUCUUCAAUUCGACUUCUUUGACAUGCAACAACUUCAACUUAUCUUGGAUUUUCUUCUUAGUUUCGUUUGGCACCACGUUCCAUCUUUGUCUUUGCUCAACAGAAUCAAAACCAAGAAUCUCAAUCGAUUGAGCAAGAUAGGACUCUUGAAACCAUCCUUAGCCAUCGUCUUCACCAUUUUUGAUGCUCUCACUCUUCUUUAACUUAUCAUCAUCAGGAGAUUUAAAAGCCAUCUCCUCAGCUCCCCCAAUAGCCUUGGACAAUCUGAAAUGAUCCUCAUCAUCAUUGUUAUCGCUCGAAAAAGGUGCUUCUCCACUUUCUUUAUAUAUUUCUUCCAUAAAUGCUUAAUCUUUUCCAUGAGCUGGUUCAAGUUAGUCUCGAAGCUAACAAGAUCUUGGAUGAUUUGUAAAACCCUUGCCUAUCUUCAAAAGGAUCCUUCCCUGUUUCGAGAAAAAAAAAGUUUCAAUCAAGAAAAAAAAGCACUUCAGUUAAAGAACUUGCUGUUUAUUGAUGAAUAUAUAUAUCAGGGAUAAAUAUGACUGGAUAUAAAUACAGUAUGGGGAAUGACUAGGGUAAUAUUUUUCAUAAUUGCUGGAAAUAUCACUGACGUAAAAUGGUGGAUAAGUAUUACUCUAUUCAACCUCCACACCCUCUUUUACAUUAAUAAUGUCUGAAACUGGAAAAGAAAAAAAGUAUGCACUCUUAAUUUCAACAGAAUAAACUUUUAAUCAUUUCACAAUGUUAUUAAGAAAUAAUUAUCAAUAUAGACAAUUUUGGAGAUAUUAAUAUCUAUUAUAGAUAUUAAAAUGUUUUGAUAUGUACAUUCUUGAUAUUUUUAUCUUUUAUUUAACCUGAUCUAAUUUCAUUAUUUUUUACUUUUUCUCUUUUUUUUUCAAACCUUUUCUUCUUCUCCACUUCUUUCAUCAUCUCAACCAUUAUUCUCAUAUUUAAAAAUAAAAACAAAAAAUCAUCAUAUUGCUUAAUCAAAUAACAGUAAUUUUUAAAAGUCUUUGACAAAAUUUUCAAAAAAAAAAACAUAUAUAUCCAUAUAGUUACGUACAUAUAUAUCAUAUGCACAUAAAUAUGCAUAUGUAUCCAUAUAGUUACGUAAUGUAUCUAUAUAUACAUCUACGUAAACCUAUAUACAUGUAAUUAUAUAUAAAUACACAUAAUUAUAUAAAUACACAUACGUAUCUAUAUUUACGUAAUUAUAUAAAUAUAUAUAAAAAUAUAUAUGUGUAUCUAUAUGGAUAGAUCCACAUAUAUGAUAUCUAUGUAGAUCUCUAAAUAUCAUAUCUAUAUAGAUCUCUAUACGUACUCAUAUAAUUGUAUCCACGUCUAAACAACUAUAUAGAUACACAUGUAUUUAUCUUUAUAUUGAUUUCUUACCACUCAAAUCAUUACUUGAAAUUUCUUCUAACUAAGUUUCUGGAUUUUCUGUUUUCGCUCAAGAAAGUUACACUGACUAAAAAUAUGCAUUUCAGGAUGGCUCUAGUUAUGUCAAAUCUCGUUCAUACAGAGCCGACCUUGAGUUGCAUAUUUUUUUGCAUGGACUGCAAGUUAGAAAGAAAAAAUAGCCUGUUUUGCAUAAUUAUUCCAAAAAAAUGGGCCGUUUUGUUUUAGAAAAUUUUUGCAUAAAAUAAGGGCUGCAUACCGAGCAGUUUAAUGAACUCAUUUAAGAAAAAAUAACAUAAUAAGAUCUAGAAUUUGGUGAUUCUAAGAACCGGUGAAACAAAUCGGAAACCAAUCCAGACCGUUUAGAAUCUGCAAUAAUAGGCUAACUCGGCCAAAUCGCUCCUAUAGAUCUCGUAAGAUGAUAUCUUCUUACUUAUGGCAUUAAGAAGGAGGUUGAUAGAAAGAAUUAAAAACAUAAAUUAUAUAUGUAAUAUUAAUAUGAUAGAUCAGUUGAUAUAUACACUCAUUUAUUUUGAUAGAUGCUAGAUUACAUUUCAUAGAAAAAACCAUAAUAUGAAAUGCUGAUAAAUUUACUAAAGAAAGGCUAUAUACACCGAUAAAUGAAGAAUGCCUAAUGGUGUAAGAGAAGACAACGAGAUUUAAUUACCUUAACAUGAAGCAUGAGGGGAUAUCCGGUUGUCUCGUGUUAAAAGUCAACUUCACGAGAUCUGAUAAGUAGAUGCCUUAUUACUUUAUUCAUUCAAGUAAAAAGUCAGUUAGACUUAAAAAUCAAAUCAAAAUCGGUACAAAUAUAUGUUAUCACGUUUUUUUCAUGAUAACUAAGAGUUUUCACUCUUUAAAGAGGUUACCAAUACCUCUGUCCUUGUAGUACAAGGGGUUAUCAAACCAAACUUGUGAUGGAGACACUAAUCUAUGUUACUUGUGAUCUUAAGUCAAGAUGAAAGGGUAAAGAUUUUAACUAAACUAUUCAACAAGUAAAUAAGCAUAAAAGUGAAGCAAAGACAAGAUUUAAACUAAGUGAAGAUGCAAAUGACAAGCAAAUGAUUCGGAUGAUGAUAAUAUAUAAUAAAGGCAGAAGCUUUAGACAGGAUACUUGACUCAGGUGCUUUCAAGCUAAACUAAUGGGUUGAUGAAUCAGAUUUAUCAAGCGGUUUCAUUUAACUUGAACUCAAAGCAUGUUAAUCUUCUCAUGAAAGUAUUAAAUAUCUAAACUGAUCCUCUUUCAUACCAAAAUCCCUUUUAAGAAACAUGAAUCAGUCAGCAAUAAGAUUCAGUUCAAUAUGUCAUUUAAGAGAACAAACUAUCACUCUCGCGAUGAAAGACUCUUAAACCUUUAACCGAGUGGUUCAGACAUUUCUACAAACACUUUUGAUGCGAGAUAUGUCUCAGAUCGGAACCUCAAGUGAUGUGCUUGGAUCCAGCCUAGAGAUCUCGUCGGUUAAAGAAUGAAACAUGCAAGACUAGACACCUAAACCCACUAAUCUAUCUUGAAAGCACCCUAAUCUACCUAUCUAAAGCCGCUUAAACGACUACUCACUGAUCAUAACGAGCUCACUAAGUCCUUUGCAAGACGUGUAGCUAGUCAUGAUUAGGAGUUUAAUACUGGAUGAUAAAAGAAAAUAAAGAAAGAACAAGAUUCAGAUGCAAAAACGAGAUAUCGGAUUAGAUUAAUCAAGUUUCACAAAAGAGGCAAGUUCUUAAGGCUAAAAGAUGAUAAGAGAUAAGAUGAUUAGGUUUUUGGUCCUAAAAUGUAUUUAUAGCAAAGAGAAAGUGUCGCGGGUCAGCCCGGAACAAAUUGGGUACGGAGCCGCCUUCUCGGGUUGAUGGGUGAGUGCCACGGUGUGUCGGAGAGUGAAGCCGAGGCCUUGAUGUCGAGGAGUGCACGUGAGCAAAGAUCGAAAUGGAGAUCUCGUGAAGAACACGUCAAGAAUAUGCAUGGACCCUAGUCUUUGAUCCGUCUUCACGUGUGUGUUCUUGAGCCGUCUUGUUCCUGAUUCUGGAGUUGUGACAAGAGACCUCGCCAUAAAAUGUCGCGGGGCUUGGUAGUCGAGGGCUUCGGGAGAACAGAGUCCGGCAUGCACGCCGAGGCCAUUACACCGAGGUGCACGUUCAACACUUAGUCGUUUCCAGCUUCAUUUCUUACGUGUGCAUGCCUUGAUCUCAUCAUGCCGAGGUGUCAGCACAAGGUCUUGUCCAAAAUAUUCUCAAGAUAUGAGCCUUGACUUGAGCAAUGUCGAGGUAAUGAUGCCGAGGCCUGAGAAAACACUUAGCGCGUAUUGCAACUCAUUUAGGCUUGUAUCGACCGACUUGCCUUCCGGAAGCAGUAACUUUCAACACACGACUCCAAUUGCUUUGAGACCAGUUCCAUAGUCUAGAUGACUCAAUAAGCUCGAACUUUGGUGAAGAAACCGUCGGAGCUUGGGGAGUGGAAGGCUUCUUGGAUUUCGCAUCUUUGCACCGCAUCAGAAUCACCGGAAAAUAAUCUUUUGGACAGAUGUGAACUCCGGAGACCGUAUCUUUCGACUACUCAGAAUUGAGUGAUUCUAAGCGUUACGAAAAGUUCAUUCACAGAUCUCAAACUUUGAUGAAGACCGGGAAGGCUGGUUCGGACCGGAAGGGCUCCGUCCCUCGUAAUCUUUAAAGUCCGCUGUUCGGUUCUCGGGUGCGCGUAAUACUGGUGCAUCCUCCGGAGACCAUAUCUUUCUCCUCACUGGUCCGAAUUGGAUGAUUCCAACUGUUCUGGGAUCUUUGCUUGAUUAUCUACAAUUUUGAUGAAGACCCCGCCAACUGACUCGGACCGGAAGGUUCCCCGGAUUGCUGAUCUUUGAAACGCGCGGGUAAGGAUGAGUUUUAACCGAGAAAAGCUUCCCGCGGUAAGGAAAAUGGUCGAGGGCUGUAUACCGCGGUAAGUUUUUAGCCGUAAAAUCCUUCUCGACUCGGUCUAAAAUUUCACCCGCGGGAAUUUUCACCCGAUACUCGAUUUUAACCGAUUUUGGCAGUUCGGUAAGGGUUUUGACCGAGGUUCCAGUCCAGCCGGUACGAUUUUUGGCCGAGAAAUUCCUCCAAGCGGUUUUCACCAUUUUUAACCCUUUUCUUCACCGUUUUCUUUCCUGCUCCUCUUCUUGAGCUCCAAAUGGCCUCCAAAGCACCUGAUAAAGACUUCAAAACAUGCAAAACUCUUUGGGACCUAAUGCAAGCCCUAAAUCCUAUUUUGAUGCAAAAUAUAGACAUAUCAACUCCCCCACACUUGUCCUUUGCUUGUCCUCAAAGCGAAAAGAACAAAUGAGAGAAAGAGGUUGUAGUGGAAAUGGAGCUCAUAUUUCCUUUUUAGAGAGAAGUGAUCACAAUGAGAACUCGGAUUCAUGCUCAAAUAUGCCAUGCAAAGCUAUACUCAGAUAUUUACCAACUAAAGCACGGAAUCUCCACAAGUUCUUAUCAAAUUCAACUCUUUCACAUUCAUUACGUUCGUAACCGGUGAAUCAAAUGAUGCAAUGUUCAAACAGGCUGGUUUGACUAGGGUAAGGUCAUGAGAUAAAAAUGAUCUCAUCAAUAUUCAAGCGGGUGCAAUGCAACAAAGGGAUCUCUCUAUGAACGACCAAACUUUGGCAGAAUGCUAAAGGUAAAAAGCAACCUAUGCAUACAAGGGCAAAACUCAUCACACCCCACACUCCACUCAAAGUUUUCUCACUUGCUCACCCUCUCAAGAUCCUCACUCUUCACAAUCGAUUUCUUUUCACUAGGGGACUCACUUCUCGAUUUCAUUCUCGGGUCUUGGAGUUCACUUAUCCACACAGCUCUUUCUUUCACAACUUCUAGCCUCUUUUCUUUUUCUUUUUAGAACACUUGAGCUUUUUGGCUUCUUUUCUUUUUAUUUCAUUCAGAGGCUAACUUUUCUUUUAAAAACAUCAGAGCUCACUUCCUCGAAUUCACAACUCCAAGACUCAUUUCUUUUUCUUUUAUUCCCCUAGCUAUUUCCACUCUCUCUCUUCCACUCAUCUCACCUUUUUCCACUCACCAACAAAUCGUCUCCCCCACACUCAUUUCUCGCCAGUACUCUCAGUUCCUUGAUGUUGGAACAUAGCACUCAAUGAGACAUGCCCUUGUCGCUCUAAACCUAACACUUUCUGCUAAGCUUGGUCCAAGGUGGCCUUUCAAUUCACACACAAACAUUGGCUCGAAAGAAAGAUGGGUUCAAGGCGAGAGAACUGAUCCAUGAUGCGGUCUCAGCUACUUGAGCUAAGGAAGAAGGGUGGUAAAAGCAACGAUUCUAGCUCAAGUAUGUAUAUCGGUAUCCACAAGCCUAUUCAAGCAAUGCAUCAAAAGAUAUUUUCAAUUCAAGUUCAGGGUUAUCACUUAGUUAGAGUCGAGUUCAAUUCAAACUUGCUUCUCAGAUUCAAAUCGUUUCAAGCUUUACAAGCACAGAAUGAGUUUCACAAGCAUUUUUAGUUCAAGUUCUCAAGUGAUUUACUCUCUAGGAAAAAACCUAUCAUUGCUCCUUGCACUGAUGCAAUCCUACAUGAUGCACUAGACUCGAUCUUAAAAUGCGAGAUGCAACUAGAAUGAUGCAUUUUUGUGAAAAUUUUCAGGUUUAUCAUAUGCAAUGAGCUAGAUGAGACUCAAGAAUGUAAAAGUCAAAUAAGAACAAAGAAAACAAGAUUAGAAAACACAAAGCUCCUCCCCCACACUUAAAUAACACAGUCCCUUGUGUUAUAAAAGCGUGUGAGAGAAGUAAAAAGACAAACUAAACAAAUGCAAGAUGGUAUAUACAAGAUGCAUAUUUACAAUGGUUUGAAGUCGAUACCUCAGUCUGAGAGGUCUGAUCCCAAGUAGUACGAGGGAUUUGAUGUUGAGCAGGAGGGUGUGGACUGACGUGGUGGGCUGCUCUCCGAGGGUUCAGGUAAGAAAGCCGUGGCAGGAUCGAUCCAGUCCUCUUUGCCUGGUGGAAACUCCGGGUUCCUCGCGUUUGAGCUUUCCCCAACCUCUUCUUGUGUAACCGGUGCGGUUGAGGUCGCCGAGUUCUUGUCCGGUGAGGAUGGCCUGGUGAGUUGCCUGACCUUCUUUUUCAAGUGCCUUACAUAGUCCACCAACGCGUGAAUGGUCUUGUCUUGCCACUUAUACCACUUUUGGAGGGUGUUCACUCUCGAAUACAGCUUCUUGGUGUGGUAUUCAGGCUCACCCCACACAUAUGGAUCAAAAUGAUAUCGGCCCGCUCCUAUCCUUCUCUCAGAGUAUCUCUGUUCUUCGUUCUCACAUCCGGCGUGCCAUUCUCGUUCUGAGGUUUGCUAGAUGCGGCUUUGGUGUACUUGCGCAUUGGUGGGUCGAGAGAUGGGUUGUACAACUGAUCUUUGAGGACAUAGAAGGAGACGUUACACUGUUUAUCAAGCAUGGUGAGGCCUCGGUUAGGCAGUCAAACCUGUGUCCCAUCUCUGUGCAUCAGCGUAAAGUUGUAAACCCAUUUGUCCCCUGACUUGCCUCCGAAGAAACCACUUUUACUUAGGUAUUGCUCAUCAAUGAGAUUCGGCUUCGACGGUGAAUCAGAGAAUAUAAACCCUUGAGCUCUCAAAAUCUUAGUGAAAAUCCAACCGUUCUGAAGCCUCCUUGACC